rnacentral:rRNA from 1 species
UACAGAGGUCUCAAGCGUUGUUCGGAUUCAUUGGGCGUAAAGGGUGUGUAGGUGGCGCCGUAAGUCGGGUGUGAAAUUUCGGAGCUUAACUCCGAAACUGCAUUCGAUACUGCGGUGCUUGAGGACUGGAGAGGAGACUGGAAUUCACGGUGUAGCGGUGAAAUGCGUAGAUAUCGUAAGGAAGACCAGUGGCGAAGGCGGGUCUCUGGACAGUUCCUGACGCUGAGGCACGAAGGUCAGGGGAGCAAACGGG